rnacentral:rRNA from 1 species
CCGGCGCACGGGUGAGUAACGCGUAUCCAACCUGCCGUCUACUCUUGGACAGCCUUCUGAAAGGAAGAUUAAUACAAGAUGGCAUCAUGAGUCCGCAUGUUCACAUGAUUAAAGGUAUUCCGGUAGACGAUGGGGAUGCGUUCCAUUAGAUAGUAGGCGGGGUAACGGCCCACCUAGUCUUCGAUGGAUAGGGGUUCUAAGAGGAAGGUCCCCCACAUUGGAACUGAGACACGGUCCAA